rnacentral:rRNA from 2 species
UAGGGAAUCUUCCGCAAUGGGCGAAAGCCUGACGGAGCAACGCCGCGUGAGUGAUGAAGGUCUUCGGAUCGUAAAACUCUGUUAUUAGGGAAGAACAAAUGUGUAAGUAACUAUGCACGUCUUGACGGUACCUAAUCAGAAAGCCACGGCUAACUACGUGCCAGCAGCCGCGGUAAUACGUAGGUGGCAAGCGUUAUCCGGAAUUAUUGGGCGUAAAGCGCGCGUAGGCGGUUUUUUAAGUCUGAUGUGAAAGCCCACGGCUCAACCGUGGAGGGUCAUUGGAAACUGGAAAACUUGAGUGCAGAAGAGGAAAGUGGAAUUCCAUGUGUAGCGGUGAGAUGCGCAGAGAUAUGGAGGAACACCAGUGGCGAAGGCGACUUUCUGGUCUGUAACUGACGCUGAUGUGCGAAAGCGUGGGGAUCAAACAGG